ACUUUGAUUAUGGCUCAGGAUGAACGCUAGCUACAGGCUUACCACAUGCAAGUCGAGGGGAAACGACAUCGAAAGCUUGCUUUUGAUGGGCGUCGACCGGCGCACGGGUGAGUAACGCGUAUCCAACCUGCCCACCACUGGGGGAUAACCUUGCGAAAGUAAGACUAAUACCCAAUGAUAUCUCUAGAAGACAUCUGAAAGAGACUAAAGAUUUAUCGGUGAUGGAUGGGGAUGCGUCUGAUUAGCUUGUUGGCGGGGUAACGGCCCACCAAGGCUACGAUCAGUAGGGGUUCUGAGAGGAAGGUCCCCCACAUUGGAACUGAGACACGGACCAAACUCCUACGGGAGGCAGCAGUGAGGGAUAUUGGUCAAUGGACGAGAGUCUGAACCAGCCAGGUAGCGUGCAGGAUGACGGCCCUAUGGGUUGUAAACUGCUUUUAUAAGGGAAUAAAGUUAGUCUCGUGAGACUUUUUGCAUGUACCUUAUGAAUAAGGACCGGCUAAUUCCGUGCCAGCAGCCGCGGUAAUACGGAAGGUCCGGGCGUUAUCCGGAUUUAUUGGGUUUAAAGGGAGCGUAGGCCGGAGAUUAAGCGUGUUGUGAAAUGUAGAUGCUCAACAUCUGCACUGCAGCGCGAACUGGUUUCCUUGAGUACGCACAAAGUGGGCGGAAUUCGUGGUGUAGCGGUGAAAUGCUUAGAUAUCACGAAGAACUCCGAUUGCGAAGGCAGCUCACUGGAGCGCAACUGACGCUGAAGCUCGAAAGUGCGGGUAUCGAACAGGAUUAGAUACCCUGGUAGUCCGCACGGUAAACGAUGGAUGCCCGCUGUUGGUCUGAAUAGGUCAGCGGCCAAGCGAAAGCAUUAAGCAUCCCACCUGGGGAGUACGCCGGCAACGGUGCAACUCAAAGGAAUUGACGGA
rnacentral:rRNA from 1 species